rnacentral:tRNA from 1 species
GAGAGUAUAGCUCAAGUGGUAGAGUGCAUGCCUAGUAUGCAAGAGGUCCUGGGUUCAGUCCCCAGUACCUCCU